GGCGACAUGGCCGAGUGGUCUAAGGCGCUGGAAUUAGGAAUUACCAACCAUCCAGUCCGAAAGGGCGUGGGUUCGAACCCCACUGUCGUCA